rnacentral:rRNA from 1 species
UACGGGGGGGGCAAGCGUUGUUCGGAAUUACUGGGCGUAAAGGGCUCGUAGGUGGCCAACUAAGUCAGACGUGAAAUCCCUCGGCUUAACCGGGGAACUGCGUCUGAUACUGGAUGGCUUGAAUCCGGGAGAGGGAUGCGGAAUUCCAGGUGUAGCGGUGAAAUGCGUAGAUAUCUGGAGGAACACCGGUGGCGAAGGCGGCAUCCUGGACCGGCAUUGACGCUGAGGCGCGAAAGCUAGGGGAGCAAACGGG